rnacentral:rRNA from 1 species
AGCUCCAAUAGCGUAUAUUAAAGUUGUUGCAGUUAAAAAGCUCGUAGUUGGAUUUCUGGUAGGAGUAGUGGCUAUGGGUCUUUGACCUAUUAAGUUGCUAUCUUCAACCAUCCUUGGAAAGAUUUAAUCUGGCAUUAAGUUGUCGGAUUAAAGAUUACCAUCAUUUACUGUGAAAAAAUCAGAACGUUCAAAGUAAGCAUUUUGCUCUUGAAUGUAUUAGCAUGGAAUAAUAAAAUAGGACUUAGGUACUACUUUGUUGGUUUAUGCACCUAGGUAAUGAUUAAUAGGGAUAGUUGGGGGUAUUCGUAUUCCAAUGUUAGAGGUGAAAUUCUUGGAUUUUUGGAAGACGAACAACUGCGAAAGCAUUUACCAAGGAUGUUUUCA